rnacentral:piRNA from 1 species
UGAUUCUCGGCAGGAGAAGGGGUUCCAUU